GAUGAACGCUGGCGGCGUGCCUAAUACAUGCAAGUCGAGCGAACAGACGAGGAGUUUGCCUCUCUGACGUUAGCGGCGGACGGGUGAGUAACACGUGGAUAACUUAUCUAUAAGACUGGGAUAACUUCGGGAAACCGGAGCUAAUACCGGAUAAUAUAUUGAACCGCAUGGUUCAAUAGUGAAAGACGGUUUUGCUGUCACUUAUAGAUGUAUCCGCGCCGGAUUAGCUAGUUGGUAGGGUAACGGCUUACCAAGGCAACGAUGCGUAGCCGACCUGAGAGGGUGAUCGGCCACACUGGAACUGAGACACGGUCCAGACUCCUACGGGAGGCAGCAGUGGGGAAUCUUCCGCAAUGGGCGAAAGCCUGACGCAGCAACGCCGCGUGAGUGAUGAAGGUCUUCGGAUCGUAAAGCUCUGUUAUUAGGGAAGAACAGAUGUGUGAGUAACUAUGCACGUCUUGACGGUACCUAAAGAGAAAGCCACGGCUAACUACGUG
rnacentral:rRNA from 1 species